rnacentral:rRNA from 1 species
UAGGGAAUCUUCCACAAUGGACGCAAGUCUGAUGGAGCAACGCCGCGUGAGUGAAGAAGGUCUUCGGAUCGUAAAGCUCUGUUGUUGGUGAAGAAGGAUAGAGGCAGUAACUGGUCUUUAUUUGACGGUAAUCAACCAGAAAGUCACGGCUAACUACGUGCCAGCAGCCGCGGUAAUACGUAGGUGGCAAGCGUUGUCCGGAUUUAUUGGGCGUAAAGCGAGCGCAGGCGGAAUGAUAAGUCUGAUGUGAAAGCCCACGGCUCAACCGUGGAACUGCAUCGGAAACNGUCAUUCUUGAGUGCAGAAGAGGAGAGUGGAACUCCAUGUGUAACGGUGGAAUGCGUAGAUAUAUGGAAGAACACCAGUGGCGAAGGCGGCUCUCUGGUCUGCAAACUGACGCUGAGGCUCGAAAGCAUGGGUAGCGAACAGGAUUAGAUACCCUGGUAGUCCAUGCCGUAAACGAUGAGCGCUAGGUGUUGGGGACUUUCCGGUCCUCAGUGCCGC